rnacentral:rRNA from 1 species
UACGGAGGGUGCAAGCGUUAUCCGGAUUCACUGGGUUUAAAGGGUGCGUAGGCGGCCUGUUAAGUCAGGGGUGAAAGACGGUAGCUCAACUAUCGCAGUGCCCUUGAUACUGAUGGGCUUGAAUAUACUAGAGGUAGGCGGAAUGUGACAAGUAGCGGUGAAAUGCAUAGAUAUGUCACAGAACACCAAUUGCGAAGGCAGCUUACUAUGGUAUGAUUGACGCUGAGGCACGAAAGCGUGGGGAUCAAACAGG